AAACCAUGUUGUGGGUAACUCCUCAACAAAUCCUUAUAGCAUUCCCAUGCCUCAUAAAGUGUCUCGCCGUCUUGUUGGGUUAAGGAGGCAAUAACAUGUCGAAGCUU